UACGUAGGGGGCUAGCGUUGUCCGGAAUCAUUGGGCGUAAAGAGCGUGUAGGCGGCCCGGUAAGUCCGCUGUGAAAGUCGGGGGCUCAACCCUCGAAUGCCGGUGGAUACUGUCGGGCUAGAGUGCGGAAGAGGCGAGUGGAAUUCCUGGUGUAGCGGUGAAAUGCGCAGAUAUCGGGAGGAACACCAGUAGCGAAGGCGGCUCGCUGGGCCGUUCCUGACGCUGAGACGCGAAAGCUAGGGGAGCGAACAGG
rnacentral:rRNA from 1 species